rnacentral:rRNA from 1 species
UGAUUCUUCGGAUGAAGUCUCUUGUGACUGAGUGGCGGACGGGUGAGUAACGCGUGGGUAACCUGCCUCACACAGGGGGAUAACAGUUGGAAACGACCGCUAAUACCGCAUAACCCGCUGGUGCCGCAUGGCACUGACGGAAAAGAUUUAUCGGUGUGAGAUGGACCCGCGUCUGAUUAGCCAGUUGGCAGGGUAACGGCCUACCAAAGCGACGAUCAGUAGCCGGCCUGAGAGGGUGAACGGCCACAUUGGGACUGAGACACGGCCCAGACUCCUGCGGGAGGCAGCAGUGGGGAAUAUUGCACAAUGGGGGAAACCCUGAUGCAGCGACGCCGCGUGAGUGAAGGAGUAUUUCGGUAUGUAAAGCUCUAUCAGCAGGGAAGAAAAUGACGGUACCUGAUUAAGAAGCCCCGGCUAACUACGUGCCAGCAGCCGCGGUAAUACGUAGGGGGCAAGCGUUAUCCGGAUUUACUGGGUGUAAAGGGAGCGUAGACGGUGAUGCAAGUCAGAAGUGAAAGCCCGGGGCUCAACUCCGGGACUGCUUUUGAAACUGUGUGACUGGAGUGCAGGAGAGGUAAGCGGAAUUCCUGGUGUAGCGGUGAAAUGCGUAGAUAUCAGGAGGAACACCAGUGGCGAAGGCGGCUUACUGGACUGUAACUGACGUUGAGGCUCGAAAGCGUGGGGAGCAAACG